rnacentral:rRNA from 1 species
CGGGGUGCAGCAGGCGCGAAACCUUUACAAUGCUGGCAACAGCGAUAGGGGGACCUCGAGUGCCAGGUUACAAAUCUGGCUGUCGUUGUGUCUAAAAAACACGAUAUAGCAAGGGCCGGGCAAGACCGGUGCCAGCCGCCGCGGUAACACCGGCGGCUCGAGUGGUAACCGUUAUUAUUGGGUUUAAAGGGUCUGUAGCCGGCCUGGUUAGUCCUUUGGGAAAUCCGGCAGCUCAACUGUCGGGCUUUCAGAGGAUACUGCCAGGCUCGAGACCGGGAGAGGUAAGAGGUACUUCAGGGGUAGGGGUGAAAUCUUGUAAUCCUUGAAGGACCACCAGUGGCGAAGGCGUCUUACCAGAACGGAUCUGACGGCAAGGGACGAAAGCUAGGGGCACGAACCGGAUUAGAUACCCGGGUAGUCCUAGCCGUAAACGAUACUCGCUAGGUGUCGGCCACGGUGCGACCGUGGUCGGUGCCGUAGGGAAACCGUGAAGCGAGCCACCUGGGAAGUACGGCCGCAAGGCUGAAACUUAAAGGAAUUGGCGGGGGAGCCAAGGGCGAAUCGCGG